UAUUAUUUUUCAUUGCAGUUCUUUCUUUGAUGUCUAGGAACCCAGGUUUCUAAAAAUAUUCUUUGAGUUCUCUUGACUCUGCAGUGUGAGGCUGGCCAGGUCGAGGGGACAGUGUGAGGUGUUUUCACAAAUGAGAGCCCUACGCGGUCACAUUUUCCUUUCCACAGCAUGUCCUUCCUGUUUUGUUCAUGGGCUCAUCACCGACACACGCCACCUCUUCCCAGCAGAGAAAGUACGAGAUUCUUCUAAUCACGAACAAUAAACGCAACUGCUUCCAACCCAGGCUACCAUCUUAUCAUCUUCCAAAGAACCGGAGACUAAAUCUGGAGAAGAGCUCGUGUGACAUGAUCUGGAAACAGUUCAAGACAGGCGGCUGAGAUGGAACACAGCACACAGCACAGGAGAGAGAGGCAAACCCAGAAGAUUCCAUUUAGUUCAUCAGACUCCCAAAGGAGGGAAGCACAACUCAUGUAUCCGUCAAGAAAUCAACUCAGCUACUUCUGCUUUUAUUUCAUUUAGUUUGACUCUGGGUCUACACAGCAGGAGCCCAUCAGGAAUAAUAAUAAUAUCAGCUAUUUAUUGGUUAUUUCCUAUGUUCCAAUUAAUAUGCUCUAAAGUAUUUUAUGUACAUCAUCUCAUUUAACUCUUACAAAAAAUGCUUCUGGAUAUUGUCAUUAACCCCAUUUUACAAACAAGAAAAGUAGCUCUUGGAAGGUUCCCCAACUAGUAAAUGCAGGUCCGAUUCAAAAGUCCUUGCUUAUCUCCAUUUUCUAUUCCACCUUUCAUUUUUACCCAUAAAGGUCUCUAAUUGCA